rnacentral:rRNA from 1 species
UACGAGAGGCCCAAACGUUAUUCGGAUUUACUGGGCUUAAAGGGCGCGUAGGCGGGUGCUCAAGUCUGUGGUGAAAUCCUCCGGCUCAACCGGAGAACUGCCAUGGAUACUGGGUGCCUCGAGGGUGGUAGGGGUAUGCGGAACUAUCGGUGGAGCGGUGAAAUGCGUUGAUAUCGAUAGGAACUCCGGUGGCGAAGGCGGCAUACUGGACCACUUCUGACGCUGAGGCGCGAAAGCCAGGGGAGCGAACGGG